UCAAGUAAAGGAAGAGCACAAGGUGAAUGCCUUGGCAGCAGAAGGCGAUGAAGGACGUAGUAACCUGCGAUAAGCCUCGGGGAGCUGGUAAAUAAGCUUCGAUCCGAGGAUUUCCGAAUGGGAAAACCCAAUAUACGUAAGUAUAUUAUCUUAUACUGAAUACAUAGGUAUAAGAGGCGAACCUGGGGAACUGAAACAUCUAAGUACCCAGAGGAAAAGAAAUCAACAGAGAUUCCGGUAGUAGCGGCGAGCGAAACCGGACCAGCCCUUAAGCUUAUUUUAGUCCAGCAAAAUAUUCUGGAAAGUUUGACCAUAGUGGGUGAUAGUCCCGUAUGCGAAAGACUAAUUUAAGUGAAAUCGAGUAGGUCGGAACACGUGAAAUUCUGACUGAAUAUGGGGGGACCAUCCUCCAAGGCUAAAUACUCUAUGCAGACCGAUAGUGAACCAGUACCGUGAGGGAAAGGCGAAAAGAACCCCGGCGAGGGGAGUGAAAUAGAACCUGAAACCUUGUGCUUACAAGCAGUCGGAGCAGACUUGUUCUGUGACGGCGUACCUUUUGUAUAAUGGGUCAACGACUUAAUUUCAGUAGCAAGCUUAACCAUAUAGGGUAGGCGUAGGGAAACCGAGUCUUAAUAGGGCGCUCAGUUGCUGGAAUUAGACCCGAAACCGGGUGAUCUAUCCAUGGCCAGUGUGAAGGUCGAGUAACAUCGACUGGAGGCGCGAACCCACUUAUGUUGAAAAAUGAGGGGAUGAGCUGUGGAUAGGAGUGAAAGGCUAAUCAAACCCGGAGAUAGCUGGUUCUCUUCGAAAACUAUUUAGGUAGUGCCUCGUGUAUUACUGUAGGGGGUAGAGCACUGUUUCGGCUAGGGGGUCAUCCCGACUUACCAAACCGAUGCAAACUCCGAAUACCUACAAGUAUGAGCACGGGAGACAGACUGCGGGUGCUAACGUCCGUAGUCGAGAGGGAAACAACCCAGACUGUCAGCUAAGGUCCCUAAUUAUGAUUAAGUGGGAAACAAUGUGGGAAGGCACAAACAGCUAGGAAGUUGGCUUAGAAGCAGCCAUCUUUUAAAGAAAGCGUAAUAGCUCACUAGUCGAGUCGGCCUGCGUGGAAGAUAUAACGGGGCUAAAUCAUAAACCGAAGCUACAGAUCUUAAAUUUAUUUAAGAUGGUAGAAGAGCGUUCUGUAAGCGGAUGAAGGUAAGCUGAGAGGCGAACUGGACGUAUCAGAAGUGCGAAUGUUGACAUGAGUAACGAUCAAAGAGGUGAAAAACCUCUUCGCCGAAAAACCAAGGGUUCCUGUCCAACGCUAAUCGUGGCAGGGUGAGGCGGCCCCUAAGGCGAGGGCGAAAGCCGUAGUCGAUGGGAAACAGGUUAAUAUUCCUGUACUUUUUAUAACUGCGAUGGGGUGACGGAGAAGGUUAGGCUAGCACGGCGACGGUUGUCCGUGUUUAAGGUGGUAGGCUUGUACUUUAGGUAAAUCCGGAGUACUACAUGGCUGAGAACUGAUAACGAUCACUCAUUGAGUGAGAAGUAGUUGAUACCAUGCUUCCAGGAAAAACCUCUAAGCUUCAGGUUAUAAGAAACCGUACCCUAAACCGACACAGGUGGUUAGGUCGAGUAGACCAAGGUGUUUGAGAGAACUAUGGUGAAGGAACUAGGCAAAAUAGCACCGUAACUUCGGGAGAAGGUGCGCUACGUUUGGUGAUGGGACUUGCUCCUUGAGCUAAACGUAGUCGAAGAUACCAGGUGGCUGCGACUGUUUACUAAAAACAUAGCACUCUGCAAACUCGUAAGAGGAAGUAUAGGGUGUGACGCCUGCCCGGUGCCGGAAGGUUAAUUGAUGGGGUUAGCGUAAGCGAAGCUCUUGAUCGAAGCCCCGGUAAACGGCGGCCGUAACUAUAACGGUCCUAAGGUAGCGAAAUUCCUUGUCGGGUAAGUUCCGACCUGCACGAAUGGCGUAACGA
rnacentral:rRNA from 1 species